UACAGAGGGUGCAAGCGUUUAAUCGGAAUUACUGGGCGUAAAGCGUGCGCAGGCGGUUAUGUAAGACAGGUGUGAAAUCCCAGGGCUUAACCUUGGAACUGCAUUUGUGACUGCAUAGCUAGAGUACGGUAGAGGGGGAUGGAAUUCCGCGUGUAGCAGUGAAAUGCGUAGAUAUGCGGAGGAACACCGAUGGCGAAGGCAAUCCCCUGGACCUGUACUGACGCUCAUGCACGAAAGCGUGGGGAGCAAACAGG
rnacentral:rRNA from 1 species